UAGGGGCUUGACCGGCGCGCCUCGCUGGU
rnacentral:sRNA from 1 species